rnacentral:rRNA from 1 species
CGAACGGCAGCACGGGGGCAACCCUGGUGGCGAGUGGCGAACGGGUGAGUAAUGCAUCGGAACGUGCCCAGUCGUGGGGGAUAACGUAGCGAAAGCUACGUAAUACCGCAUACGAUCUAUGGAUGAAAGCGGGGGACCUUCGGGCCUCGCGCGAUUGGAGCGGCCGAUGUCAGAUUAGGUAGUUGGUGGGGUAAAGGCCUACCAAGCCGACGAUCUGUAGCUGGUCUGAGAGGACGACCAGCCACACUGGGACUGAGACACGGCCCAGACUCCUACGGGAGGCAGCAGUGGGGAAUUUCGGACAAUGGGCGCAAGCCUGAUCCAGCAAUGCCGCGUGCAGGAUGAAGGCCUUCGGGUUGUAAACUGCUUUUGUACGGAACGAAAAGGCUCUGGCUAAUACCUGGGGCUGAUGACGGUACCGUAAGAA